rnacentral:lncRNA from 1 species
UUUUUUUUACAAGUGUACAUAUGUACUUAUGCAAAAGAAUUGUGCAUAAAAAGAAUUCCAGGAAGGCUCUCUAAUGGGUGACACCCUGACUUGACUCAUUUGAAGAGAGCAUGGCUUGUGGGCAUUGAAUGGAGCUUGACAGAGUCCUGCCCAAUUCUGAAGGAAAGGGAAACCCUGCACCACCUAUCUUCAACUCAACAAAGUGCAGCUCAAGUUUCAUCAAAGCUGUGGGGAAAUCCUGUAAUUUCUGCUUUAUUGCUUCAAUGAAAUGAAAAAAGACAUCUUUUGAAAGGCAAUCUUUUUAUCUUAUUUGGCAGAUAUGGCCAAGUUCUGCCACCACAUUUCCCAGAUGUAGUUUAUAUAAUCAAAUGGUGCAACUCCUUGUUAAAAGAGGCAGAUAUUACGUGUUUGUCAACAUAUGGCUUGCAUAUAUUAGAGUGAAGAUCUUCCCACGUGUGGACUUCUCCCUUCACUGGGGCUAUGGCACAAGAAGGGCAAUAGUAUCAGGAUUCAGAACACUUUAUUGCAAUUUUAUUGUAAAGCACAGACAAUUUUUUUCCCUUCAUUUCCCUGUUUUAGGAUAAUAACAUUUUUUGAGCAGUGAAGUAGUGUACACAAUUAUGCUAUCCUGGCUUGCUAGCUUUAGAAAAAGACCUCCUGUAAUCCUCUGUUUGGACAACCCUGUCUACUAAAACAUUAAAGCUUCUUGGUUAUUAUUAGAUGUUUCAAAAUGAAAUGAUUGUGUGAAUCAGAAACUGGCAUUUGUCCAGCAGAGAAAGAAUUUAUGAGAAUUGAGAGUUUUGUGAAAGAGUUCAUCUCCCAUGAAUUGGAUGCACUGCUAUAAAUUUGGUUGCUCCCUAAUCAGCUCUGAGUAUGAACAUAAUUUCCAUAAAACUUACCCUCUAUAAUGGUUUUUCACAGGUUCACAGCUUCACAGAGGCUGUGCUACACUAAGACUUGAAGAUAGUGUGUAUUAUACCAUAAAUACUUCCUUUGCUUUGUAAAGAAAUCUCCCAUGCUCAGCGUUUGCAUGUCAUUACCUCGCUCACAGCUGUUUAUGAGCAGUGCUGCUGUCUCAGCUCUGGGAACAAACAGGUUUGGACAUGCAUGUGAAUGACAUGGUUUGUUUUGCCAGCCAGAACUGUGGAAGUAUCUCCAUUCUCAGCCUGAGCAUUAUUCUCAGUAGUAAGUCAUAUUUUCCCAGGCAGAUUGUUGAAAUGUGCUAAUGAGCCUCCAAAUAAUAUAAAAGAAGGGCUCCCAUGGUUGCAGGUUUGCUAGUUCAAAAGCUACUUCUCGUGGCAGACACAGGUACAACACGCUGACGCCGUCUGAGAUCAUUUGCUAAGCAGUUUGCCUGCCCACACCCAGAAUGCACAUCUAGUGCUGGCUGAGACCUGGGAAUUAAAAUAUUUGGCCUGAGGUACUUUUUUGAUGCACACUCAUUUUCUUUCUGUACUAAAGCAGUGCUAACAGUUUCUUCCAAAGCAAACUAGAAAGCAAAUGUAUAUAUGCAGCAUGUUGCUCAGUAAUAAUCUUAUUUUUAGACUAAAGUAGCAUUACUUCACAAAGUUAGUCUAUGCCAUUGGAGCUUCAGUCCAGACCUGUAAGCUAUACAUACAUUCAUUCUAUUUUUCCAUGUACCACCUUCCUUGAUUGCAUGAGUUCUCUGAGAAAGUGAUCCUUGGAGCCUCACAGGCAUCCUCUACAAUUUUUGUUUCAGGAAAAAAGACAUAUUCCUUAGACAGAACUCUUCUUUCCCGUGCCACUGACAUUGUCUCUGGCACAAAGGGAUACCCGCCAAAUUGUCUGUUUUCCUUAUGAUAUGAGCAGCCUUAAGUGGCUCUAAACUUCAUGGUCAAUAACAUGACUUGUUUGAUUGCAUAUCAGCUGGCACAGUGUCACAGCCUCCUGCCUUUUCUGAGCCUCGGAUCCCUGGGGGAAUGGGGAGAGGAGAACGUGUGACUUUUCCCAUCCCAAUGCCUUCAGUCCUCUCAGGCCCCUGCUGGGCAGUAUGAGUAUUCAAAUAAAGUUUUCAAAGGUAGGCGGUGACUUUUUUCCUAUGUCUGUAAUCUUAACUUAAUCACAAAGUAAUUAACGUACGUGCUUCCACUAGUACACUCUUGGUUGUACACAACAUGUAAAUAUUUGGCUUUGUAAAGCUGAGGACUUUGUCUUUGAAACAUUUUGCCAAAUUCCUAAAUAGAAAAUAGCUAGGUGAUUUUAAUGGCAAUAAACCAUAUCAAGUGAGCUUAAUUCUUUAGCAUUUUACUCCAUUUUUUGAAAAGAAAAUUUUUGGUGGAAAAUACUCGAAUUUUUGAUUACAGAUUUUUCCAGAAAUGUUUAGCCCAGCUCUGUUCAAAAUGUUCUAUAAAGUCUAAGACCCAGUGGGUGUCUUUCCAUGGUUUCACAGAAAACCUUGAUGACUCCACUUUUUGUUGUUUUUGUAGCACUUUGUGGUUUAUUUUUGCAAUGUACCUGUCAUUUGGGUCCCUUUCUCAGCUUUGGUAAGAAAAUAAAAAAAUCACAGCUUCAUUAAAUUGGCAAGGUGGUUCUUACACUGUCACCUAUUUGGAAGUGUGAAACCAUUUUUGGUAGAAAAAGUAAUGCUUAAAUAUUUCUUAUGAAGAAGCAUUAAAAUUAUGAGUAGGUGGUAAUAACCAAAUCAGUACCACAUGCUGCUAUGCUGUGGUCUUUUAAAAGCAAGGUGCAUUAUUUUUUUUCACUGAUCAAGAUGAGUUUAUUGGCAUUUUAGUAACUCUUUGCUGACUUGUAAGUGUUAAGUGUUGUUUAUAAAUGUUUAUACAACCCUCUCCUUAAUCAGACAGGAAGCAGUGAGUGAGUGGUAGUUGUGCUUGUCCCAAGAAAAUCUGUCCACGUGAAUCCAGUUCACUGGAGCAUCCCAUAUGCACUGGCAAGAGGCAGCUGUUCACUUGGACAAAACUCAGGAGAUACCAACUUCAGAUUUAAUAUCAGUGGUUUUAUCUCAAUCUCUCCAUUCUGUGGUGUUUCUUCUCCUCAUAACUCCCACACUUUGGCUGUUCUUUACAGUAUUUUAUGAACUGAGUUAGCAAUGAGAGGGGUCAGAGCAGAACAUCGUGUGAAUCACUCCUGCUCCUUGAAAUGAAUUACAGCUGGACUUACCUGUUCACCUGUUUUUCAUUUGUCUGUGGAGGAACACUUCUGCUAAAUGCAUUCAUCAGGGAUUUUUGUUUGAUUUCCUUGAGUCCCUGGGAUAUAAUUAAUUAUUGAUCUCUAAAAGUACCUUAAAGAACAAAGGAAAGUGAAUUGACUUUAAACAUUGACACAAAAUACAUUCUUUAUUUUGUUAACAAUUUUAAGUGAAUAGGAAUGAUUUUUUGGGAGGGUCUCAUUUUACCUCUCCCAGUGUUCUUCAGAAGUGAAGAAAGAGAAAGAGAAGUGUCUUUGUAGGAACUGAGUGCUUUCUGUAGUGUAAAUUAGAUGCAUUAAUAUCUUGUGAAUAAAGCAGAGUGACUGUCUAGUGAAAACACUGCUCUAACCCGACAUGAACAUACCAUGUGUUUCAGUUAAAAGUGUGAAAAACUAUCAGAGGUCCAACAUAAACUUUGAAUCCUUGGCAGGGUAAAGUGCAUCAACAAUAUGUAGAUGAAAGUAGAAUUCUUUUCAGGGAUGGCAGCGUUUUUGUAUUUCAGAUUAAUACAAUUUAUUAUUAUGACAUUUACAGUUAAGAGUAUCUUUCAACCAUCUGUAACAUUCAGAGAUGUUAGCUCUUAAUGGUUUUGUCUCUCUAUGCAAUGGCAUUAUAAAGUAUCUCUACAAAACUUCUGGCAUUGGAGUAUGUGUAUUCUACAGUCAAAGUGCAGUAGCUUGAAAAAGAAAUGUGAUGUUAUUAGGUCUAAUUGUGCAUAAUUUAGAAAACUGUUUGAUAUCUAAGGAGGGAUAAAUGUUUUCGCACUUCCAGCAUUCAAACAUUAUCCUCACACCAAUUACACUGCUGUAUCAUAUGAUGUGACCUUUUCCUUAGCUUUCAAGCUUCUCCUUUUUAUUAAUUUAUAUCCUUGAUAUUGAGUAGGUACUCUGCUUAAAGAUUUGUAAAGAAUUGGAUUUUCUGCAUUUGUACUUUUUUAAGUAAUAAGGUACUUCUGUACAUUUGUACUUUUUUAUGUGUUAAGUUAAAGAUGGUUUUGGAAUUAAUGUGCCCUAACAUACUCCUUGAACCUAAAAUUCAAAUUAGAUUCACAUAUAAAAGAAUAAUAUUUGGAGAAGAAAAAUUUCAAAUUUCAAAGCAUGUAUCCCGUUGAGGUUAACUUACUAUUUAUUGUACAAAUUACACUUAUGC